UAGCCAUUAGCCACCGUAGACUGC
rnacentral:siRNA from 1 species